rnacentral:rRNA from 1 species
UACGGAGGAUCCGAGCGUUAUCCGGAUUUAUUGGGUUUAAAGGGUGCGUAGGCGGCUUAGUAAGUCAGCGGUGAAAUUUUGCAGCUUAACUGUAACAGUGCCGUUGAUACUGCCAGGCUAGGAUUUGGUUGCUGUGGGUGGAAUGUGUGGUGUAGCGGUGAAAUGCUUAGAUAUCACACAGAAUAUCGAUUGCGAAGGCAGCUCACAAAGCCAAGAUUGACGCUGAGGCACGAAAGUGUGGGGAUCAAACAGGAUUA